GACGAACGCUGGCGGCGUGCUUAACACAUGCAAGUCGAGCGGAAAGGCCACUUCGGUGGUACUCGAGCGGCGAACGGGUGAGCAACACGUGAGUAAUCUGCCCUUGGCUUCGGGAUAGCCACCGGAAACGGUGAUUAAUACCGGAUAUGACCACUUCGUGCAUGCGAUGGUGGUGGAAAGUUUUUCGGCCAGGGAUGUGCUCGCGGCCUAUCAGCUUGAUGGUGAGGUAAUGGCUCACCAUGGCUUCGACGGGUAGCCGGCCUGAGAGGGUGACCGGUCACACUGGGACUGAGACACGGCCCAGACUCCUACGGGAGGCAGCAGUGGGGAAUAUUGGACAAUGGGCGGAAGCCUGAUCCAGCAACGCCGCGUGAGGGAUGACGGCCUUCGGGUUGUAAACCUCUUUCAGUACCGACGAAGCGCAAGUGACGGUAGGUACAGAAGAAGCACCGGCCAACUACGUGCCAGCAGCCGCGGUAGUACGUAGGGUGCGAGCGUUGUCCGGAAUUAUUGGGCGUAAAGGGCUCGUAGGCGGUUUGUCGCGUCGGGAGUGAAAACCAGGUGCUUAACACCUGGCUUGCUUUCGAUACGGGCAGACUAGAGGUAUUCAGGGGAGAACGGAAUUCCUGGUGUAGCGGUGAAAUGCGCAGAUAUCAGGAGGAACACCGGUGGCGAAGGCGGUUCUCUGGGAAUAUCCUGACGCUGAGGAGCGAAAGUGUGGGGAGCGAACAGGAUUAGAUACCCUGGUAGUCCACACCGUAAACGUUGGGCGCUAGGUGUGGGGUCCAUUCCACGGAUUCCGUGCCGCAGCUAACGCAUUAAGCGCCCCGCCUGGGGAGUACGGCCGCAAGGCUAAAACUCAAAGGAAUUGACGGGGGCCCGCACAAGCGGCGGAGCAUGCGGAUUAAUUCGAUGCAACGCGAAGAACCUUACCUGGGUUUGACAUACACCCUGCCGCUCCAGAGAUGGGGCUUCUUUUGGGGGUGUACAGGUGGUGCAUGGCUGUCGUCAGCUCGUGUCGUGAGAUGUUGGGUUAAGUCCCGCAACGAGCGCAACCCUCGUUCUAUGUUGCCAGCAUGCCCUUCGGGGUGAUGGGGACUCAUAGGAGACUGCCGGGGUCAACUCGGAGGAAGGUGGGGAUGACGUCAAGUCAUCAUGCCCCUUAUGUCCAGGGCUUCACGCAUGCUACAAUGGCCGGUACAAAGGGCUGCGAUCCCGUAAGGGGGAGCGAAUCCCAAAAAGCCGGUCUCAGUUCGGAUUGGGGUCUGCAACUCGACCCCAUGAAGUCGGAGUCGCUAGUAAUCGCAGAUCAGCAACGCUGCGGUGAAUACGUUCCCGGGCCU
rnacentral:rRNA from 1 species